rfam:Clostridium botulinum A str. ATCC 3502 complete genome
AGUUAAGUGAAUAGUUUUAUCCAUAUAAUCUUAACAAUACGGGUUAAGAGUUUCUACCAGAGACCGUAAAUCUCUGACUAUGGGUAAGUCCAGUUUAUUU